rnacentral:rRNA from 1 species
CAGGACGAACGCUGGCGGCGUGCCUAAUACAUAGCAAGUCGAACGGUCUUUCUAUGGAAGCUUGCUUCCACUGAGAAGAUAGUGGCGGACGGGUGAGUAACACGUGGGUAACCUGCCCAUAAGAGGGGGAUAACAUCCGGAAACGGGUGCUAAUACCGCAUAGUUUUCUUGAUCGCAUGAUUGAGAAAGGAAAGACGGCCUUUGUGCUGUCGCUUAUGGAUGGACCCGCGGCGUAUUAGUUAGUUGGUGAGGUAAUGGCUCACCAAGACGAUGAUACGUAGCCGACCUGAGAGGGUGAUCGGCCACAUUGGGACUGAGACACGGCCCAAACUCCUACGGGAGGCAGCAGUAGGGAAUCUUCCGCAAUGGACGAAAGCCUGACGGAGCAACGCCGCGUGAGUGAAGAAGGUUUUUCCGGAUCGUAAAACUCUGUUGUCAGAGAAGAACAAGUUGGAGAGUAACUGCUCCAGCCUUGACGGUAUCUGACCAGAAAGCCACGGCUAACUACGUGCCAGCAGCCGC